ACACACCGGUUCUCGUUCGAUCACCGAAGUUAAGCAUCGUAGAGCCAGGUCAGUACUUAGAUGCGGGACCGCUUGGGAACACCUGGUACUGUAAG
rnacentral:rRNA from 1 species